UGAUCCUGGCUCGGGUGCCCGCCCUUAGCGGGCAGGCAUUGAAUUCCGGGAAGUGGGAGCUGCAGGCUCGCACCGUGCGGCUGACCAGUGUGGGGAUCCGAACCCUUGACCUUGGUGUUAUCAACACUGAGCUCUAACCAACUGAGCUAACCCGACCAGCAGCAUUUUUCACUGCAUGGUACAGUGGGAAGACCAUGUGAUGACACAAGGAGAAGAUGGCCAUCUAACAAGCCAAAGACAAGCCUCAGAAGAAAUCAACCCUACUGACAUCUUGA